rnacentral:rRNA from 1 species
AUGUCCGGCCCGUACACGGUCUGGCCCACUUGGCGGGUUGAUGCUGCCGAUUGGUAUACAUACCGUUCUCUCUCUAAAAAAAAAGAGAUUGGUAUACAUACCGGGACGGGAGCCGGAGGCAGCCGCCGUAUCAUCGCCGUCGACUCGCCUUCAGUGCGUCUCUCUGUGCUUACAACAAGAGGAGUUGCAAUUAUUUGCAAGAGCAAGUGCUGCUAUAUCCGUGCCUCUGCCAUGUCCAACAGAUUCCGAGGCUGGGCAGACCUUCCGGAUGGCCUGCUAGACUCUAUCAUUGCUCGACUCGGCUCCUUUCAUGAUCUUCUUGCCUUUGAAGCCACUUGCCGCUCUUGGCGUGCUGUGUUUUCUUCAUGUUCAUACAAAUAUACCUUGGCAGCAUCCUUCCCACCUCUUCCUUCUCCAACCCAAUUUUUCUUUGCUCUCUCCACAUCCAAGCCCCUUAAAAAAUGUCUCAUCUCCACAACUGCCGGUCUUGGAAAGCACUGGGCUCAUCUACGCCAAUCUUGGGUGGGACAUUCUCUUCAUCAUGGACCAAUCAAGCAAAUCGUGAUCUUCCAAGGGAAAGUGUUUGGCAUGGACUCUGAUCGCAGGCUCUUCAAACAUUUUUCUAAUGCAUGGUUGGUGGCAUGUGGCGAUAUGCUUCUCUUAGUUGACUUUCGAAGAACUGAUGGAAUAAUGGGGAGAACCUUCGAAGUCUUCCGCCUUGACCUAUCGACUGAGCCUGCAUUAUGGCUAAAGAUGGAGAAGUUGGAGAAUUGGGCGAUAUUCAUCAGCAGAGAUCAGAGAAGUCAGGCAUUGUCUUGCCUUAAUCCAGAGAAAUGGGGAGGGAGGAGCAACUGCAUAUACUGCUAUGACUGGAAGUCUAAACAUUGGGUUGCACUUGAGUUGGGCAAGCAAUGGCCGGGAGAUGGCUCUGAACUCGAGUCAAAUGUGCGGGUUACCAUGGACUGCGGCCCAAGGGCACGGCAGCACACAGCAAAGAGGAAAUCGACGGGCGGGGCGGAGCCCGGAGGACGCCGCCGCCGUCUCCGCCGCAAAUCGUCGCGGUCGCCUUCUUCACCCUCCGUCGCCUUCAUCACCGCAAUCAUCACCGUCCGUCAGGGAAACUGCAAUUACUUGCAAGGAAAAGGUCUCUGCUACAUUUGUGUCACCGCCACCCCACCAUGUACAGAUUGCAAGGGUUGGGCAGACCUCCCGGAGGGUCUUCUGGGCUCCAUCAUUGCUCGGCUGGGCCUGGUCUCGUUCUCUGAUCUUGUUGCCUUUUCUGCGACCUGUCGCUCUUGGCGUGCCGCCUUCUCCACCUUCAUACCGCUGCUCCCACCUCUCCUUCUCCGGCCUGAUGUCCCUAUGUCCUUUCCUCCUCGUCCUCCCAUGAUCAACAACCUGGUACCAACACGGCCAUGCCAUGCCACUAAUAUAGCAAACCAAGACACCUACCAGUGCUGUCAGAUUCCCAUACAUAGUAUUUUUGGUGAAAACAAUGCCCCACCAAGUCCUCUAGAAGGGUUUUGCUUCAAUGGUGUUGCCUAUGGUCAUCUCAUUUUCUCAAGAGAUAAAUCAUGCCUCAUUGUUGAUGUGUUCAGAGGUGUUAGUGUCUCAUCCCCACAACUACCGGUUGUUAUGGACACCGAUCUCUUCUAUGCUUCCUUCACUGCUCCUCUAGAAUCACCAAACUCACAUCUCAUUGUUGAUAUUGGAUCACGCAAUUUGUUUUGGCGUGUUGGUAGUCAAUAUUGGGUGGGGUAUUCUCCUGACGAUGGACCAAUCAAGCAAAUUGUGGUCUUCAAAGGGCGUGUCUUUGGCAUCGAUUCUGAUCUCAAACUCUUCAAAGUGCAGUUGACACCCUGGAUUCACAUACAGGAAAUACCAGUUAUGGAGUCGAGCAUGAUUAAAAAAUGGCAUCGUUCCAAUGGAUGGCUGGGUGCCAGAAUCAUUCUGGAAGCUUACGGGAUAAUAACCGGAUAUGCUCCGGAGCUGCCGGAACCACUUGAGAUGCUUUUCGCAGAUGAAAAUCACUAA